rnacentral:rRNA from 1 species
AUCUGGGGCCAUACCACCCUAAGUGUAUCGGACCUCAUCUGAUCAGAAGCUAGGCAGGGUCAGGCCUGGUUAGUACUUGGAUGGGAGAAAGCAGGCAGGGUACUGAAU